rnacentral:rRNA from 1 species
UACAGAGGUCUCAAGCGUUGUUCGGAUUCAUUGGGCGUAAAGGGUGCGUAGGCGGCGCGGUAAGUCGGGUGUGAAAUCUCGGGGCUUAACUCCGAAACUGCAUUCGAUACUGCCGUGCUUGAGGACUGGAGAGGAGACUGGAAUUUACGGUGUAGCGGUGAAAUGCGUAGAUAUCGUUUGGAACGCCAAUGGUGAAAACAGGUCGCUGGGAGUGUGCUGACGCUGAGACACGAAAGCCAGGGGAGCGAACGGG